GGAACCCAGAGGUGAUCUGGAGGAGACACCUAUUAUCUGUUAUUCCACUGGUCGUCUGGUUUCACUCAGAGGAUCUGCUUGGCUAGGUGCGCGUUCCUUCUUUUCUCCCUGCUCUCCACGUUCAUCCUUCCAGAAGCUGAACUCUCCAUUAAAGAGGAGGGUCUUCCCUGAUAGAGAAAGAUCAUUCCUUGUUCCAGGGCUCGACAAUAGCUGCACUUCUUUAUCAAAACCUCAGAACAGGACUCUGGCUAAAAUGCUCAAUUCCUAUCCAGAAAGGCAAAGAGGCUGGACAU
rnacentral:snRNA from 1 species